rnacentral:rRNA from 1 species
AUUGAACGCUGGCGGCAUGCCUUACACAUGCAAGUCGAACGGUAGAGUAGCAAUACUCGAGAGUGGCGAACGGGUGAGUAACAUAUCGGAACGUGCCCAAUCGUGGGGGAUAACGUAGAGAAAUUUACGCUAAUACCGCAUACGAUCUAAGGAUGAAAGCGGGGGAUCGCAAGACCUCGCGCGAUUGGAGCGGCUGAUAUCAGAUUAGGUUGUUGGUGAGGUAAAAGCUCACCAAGCCGACGAUCUGUAGCUGGUUUGAGAGAACGACCAGCCACACUGGGACUGAGACACGGCCCAGACUCCUACGGGAGGCAGCAGUGGGGGAAUUUUUGGACAAUGGGCGAAAGCCUGAUCCAGCAAUGCCGCGUGCAGGAAGAAGGCCUCGGUGUAA